GACGAACGCUGGCGGCGUGCUUAACACAUGCAAGUCGAGCGGAGCGGCGAACGGGUGAGUAACGCGUGAGUAACUGCCCCCCUCUCUGGGAUAACAGUUGGAAAAGGCUGCUAAUACAGGAUAGUGGGGGAUGAAUCGCGUCCUAUCGGCUUGUUGGUGUGGUAGUGGCCUACCAAGGCGACGACGGUGAGCCGGCCUGGGCGGGGGUCCGGCCACAUUGGGCUGAGAUACGCGCCAAUCUCCUACGGUAGGCAGCAGUGGGGAAUAUUGCACAAUGGGGGAAACCCGUAUGCAGCAACGCCGCGUGCGGGAUGACGGCCUUCGGGUUGUAAACCGCUUUCAGCCAUGACGCGGGAGUUGCAGAAGAAGCACCGGCUAACUACGUGCCAGCAGCCGCGGUAAUAC
rnacentral:rRNA from 1 species